CAGCUGAGUACAAGGGGCGGGCAGCUGCGUUUGAGAACCAGUGUUAACAGGGGUAUUCUUAUUAUACUAGAGUUCAUGGAGGUCAGAUUGCCAAAGGGUACAAAGCGGGAAAGUGGGCAAAGCAAGCUUCAAACUCAGCUGCGGCUUGGAGCCCCUUGGAAAGUCGUGAUGGGGACGGGCCAUAGAGACUGAGAGGAGAGACAGAGGAAGAGGAGCCACUGGUAUUUUAUAAGGCCACUGUGCAUUUUACCUUUGCCAAUAGCUUCCCAUUUUCUCUAGUCACUGAAUCUAUUCUCCCAGUUGUCAGUGAUCCACAAAAGGUUUUCUUUCCUCAUUCCAAAGGGCCCACGAGCCCCUCCCAAAUCCUUCUGUAUUUGUUCUCAGUGAAGCGUGCUUCAGAGAACUGCCUCUCUCUCCACCUAGCUCUGCCCAGGUGAUACUCUGUCGGUUCUGAUUAAGGUGCGGAAAUGGCAUUCAGCAAGCCUGCAUUGGCCAUCUUCGGAGCCGAACAGAUACCAGGGUUCAGGGAAUAAGGCUUACAUCCUCUCUGCCCUCAGUGGGCUACAUGUGUGAUACGGACUCAUGUGACACAGAUGAGCAAAUGCUGUGGGAGCCCAGGGGGAGGAGCAUUUGACACUUCUCGGGGAGAUGAGGGAUGAUAUUGUAGUUAACAUCUCUUUGGCCAUCAGCUAAUGUUUUUAAGUGGGGAUUAUGGAUAAGUGUUGGCGCUACAGCACCAAAGAGCAGGAAGUCGUGAAAACGUGAAACUCAAGUCCCCGGGUAAGAACCUGGCUUCCUGUACCUUGGGCUCAGUCAGCAGCUUCCAUCUUUGGGUUUGAAGGAACUUUCCUGUGGCAACAUGCAUUUAGGGGACAGGGAUUGAAAGAAGGAUCUGGAAAGCACAUUUUCAAGGUUAAGAACCACUUCAAGAAAUCCUUUUAACACCUUAGGCUAGGGGUUGGCAAACUGUGGCCCCGCCUGCACCUAUUUUUGUAUGGCCCACAGGCUAAGAGUGGAUUUGGCAUUUCUAAAUGGUUGAAAAAGAUCAAAAGAAAAUGUUUCCUGAAAUGUGAAAAUUAUAUAAAAGUCAGAUUUCAGUAUCCAAAAAUACAGUUUUCUUGGAGCCCAG
rnacentral:lncRNA from 1 species